CUCUUUCCAGGUGUCCUGAAAAAUGGCUGAUGAUAUUGAUAUUGAAGCAAUGCUUGAAGCUCCUUACAAGAAGGAUGAGAACAAAUUGAGCAGUGCCAAUGGCCAUGAAGAACGCAGCAAGAAGAGAAAAAAGAGCAAGAGCCGAAGUCGGAGCCAUGACAGGAAGAGGAGCAGAAGUAAGGAACGCAAACGGAGCCGAGAUCGGGAAAGGAAAAAGAGCAGAAGCCGGGAAAGGAAGCGGAGCAGAAGCAAAGAACGCAGACGCAGCCGCUCUAGGAGUAGAGAUCGCAGAUUCAGAGGCCGCUAUAGAAGUCCCUAUUCUGGUCCAAAAUUCAACAGUGCCAUCAGAGGGAAGAUUGGUCUGCCUCACAGCAUAAAAUUAAGCAGACGACGCUCCAGAAGCAAAAGUCCCUUCAGAAAAGACAAGAGCCCUGUUAGAGAACCUAUUGAUAAUCUCACCCCUGAAGAGAGGGAUGCUCGAACAGUAUUCUGCAUGCAGCUGGCUGCAAGAAUUCGACCGAGAGACCUGGAAGAAUUUUUUUCUACAGUAGGGAAGGUUCGUGAUGUGCGAAUGAUUUCAGAUAGAAAUUCCAGGCGCUCAAAGGGAAUUGCUUAUGUAGAAUUUGUUGAUGUUAGUUCAGUGCCUCUGGCAAUAGGACUGACUGGGCAGAGAGUCUUGGGUGUACCCAUCAUAGUACAGGCAUCACAGGCAGAGAAAAACAGAGCAGCAGCAAUGGCAAAUAAUCUGCAGAAGGGCAGUGCUGGUCCUAUGAGGCUCUAUGUGGGAUCCUUACACUUCAACAUAACUGAAGAUAUGCUUCGAGGAAUUUUUGAGCCGUUUGGCAGGAUUGAAAGCAUUCAGCUGAUGAUGGAUAGUGAAACUGGACGCUCAAAAGGAUAUGGAUUUAUUACGUUCUCAGACUCUGAAUGUGCCAAAAAGGCCUUGGAACAACUGAACGGAUUUGAGCUGGCUGGUAGGCCAAUGAAAGUUGGACAUGUAACUGAGCGCACUGAUGCUUCCAGUGCUAGUUCAUUUUUGGACAGUGAUGAACUGGAGCGGACUGGAAUUGACUUGGGAACAACUGGUCGCCUUCAAUUGAUGGCAAGACUUGCAGAAGGUACUGGUCUGCAGAUACCCCCGGCCGCACAGCAGGCUCUGCAGAUGAGCGGAUCUUUGGCAUUUGGAGCUGUGGCAGAGAAAAUUACUACCAGGAAUUAUGUCAUUAUGGGAGACUUUAACUUCCCUGAUACAGAUUGGAGAAGAAUUGCUAGUAAUAAUGGUGGGGCCCAGAUAUUCCUGGAUGUGAUAUCCGACAAAUUUCUUCAUCAAACACUCAGACUCACGAAGAGGGGAUGCUAUUUUAAACUCAAUUUGAUUUGCAAACAAGACUAUCUCAGCAGAAUGAAGUUCUGGCUGCAGCUGCUUCUGUACAACCACUUGCAACACAGUGCUUCCAGCUUUCCAACAUGUUUAAUCCUCAAACUGAAGAAGAAGCUGGCUGGGAUACUGAAAUUAAAGAUGAUGUGAUUGAGGAAUGUAACAAACACGGAGGAGUUAUCCACAUCUAUGUAGACAAAAAUUCAGCUCAGGGCAACGUCUAUGUCAAAUGUCCUUCCAUCGCUGCGGCCAUUGCAGCUGUAAAUGCGUUGCACGGGCGGUGGUUUGCAGGUAAAAUGAUUACAGCAGCGUAUGUACCUCUUCCGACGUACCAUAGCCUUUUCCCAGAUUCUAUGACUGCAACCCAGCUACUGGUUCCUGUUCGACGAUGAAGAUGGAUUUAGUCAGUUUUGUACAUAGUUAUUUUUUGGAGGAAGAUUGAGUUAUCUUUUAUUUAGAUAAAACUAAAGGAAAGGAUUUAAUGUCAUUUUGUGUACACUUCCUGCUACCUUUAAAAAUAAAAUGAAGUAAGCAGAAAUGCAGUGUGUUCAUUCUCCCUAACUAGCAUUUCCACUGUAUACAAAGCUGUUGACUUCUUGUUCUGCCUUGUAAUUCUUGUACAUUUACUGAGGUGAUCUGUAGGAACUGAGAAGUAGCUCAUAGAAAACAAGUUCUCUGUAAAAGGCAGAUGGGACAUAAUGACAUUUUUAAUGUUUCACAAGCCUUUCUUUUAAUGCAGCAAUUACAUUUUACAUUUCACUAAAUGUAGGUGAUCUGCUCAAGGUUAAUAUCAGAGAUAGACUUUAUGAAGGGACAUAUUUAGUGUUUUGUAUAAAUGGAAAAUUCAAAAGGCUACUGAAAGCUGACUCUAGACAGCCCCUCAGCUUGCUUUCUGAUGAAUAAUUGGUAAGACUAGAAAGAUUGAAGGGUUUUAUUUCUUGAUGGUAACUUUUGAUUAAUGUAUCUGUAAAAGUUUCUUUGUAAAUACUGUGUGAGGUGUGUCUAAGUUUCCAAACAAAACGAUCUCUGCAUUUCCAGAUAAGUUUCUGUGUAUGCAGCGGGGCACAGGUAAAGGAUUUCAGCCAAGUCUGAAAAUCAGAAGGAAAUACAGAAACGUGUUUUGUUCUGGUUGCAUAUAAUCUUUGCUCUUUUUAAGCUCUGUGAGCUCUGAAAUAUAUUUUUGGGUUACUUCAGUGUGUUUGACAAGACAGCUUGAUAUUUCUAUCAAACAAAGACUUUCAUAUUGCAACAAUCUUUGUAAGAACCACUCAAAUAAAAUUCUCUUAAAAAGGC